UCUCUUAAUCGUUACCUUUUUUAAAUGUUAUUCUAAUGUUUUUUAUAGCUGCUCAAGUUUAAAUCCUGGCCAUGCUGGAGAUGCUUACACAGCAGGUCCAUCAAUUAACUGGCAAAGUUGACAGCUUUGUUCGCCCCAGUGUGAUACAAAUGUCUGGUCAAGAAGUGGAGUGGAGAGACCCGUUUCCGUUGACCACAAUGGAGGAAGUGGACCUGUUUGAGCAACAGCUCAAAGAUCCAGCCAACGCUAUAAUGAAGAAGAGUGUGACUUCAUCACCAGCAGGACAGCGAACAAGCCAUGCAGGGUACACACCAACCUGGCGAGGUGUGGUUCAGACACCAUUGCCUGCUGUGCUCAAAGAUCCAGCCAACGCUAUAAUGAAGAAGAGUG